UUGACCUCGGAUCAGGUAGGGAUACCCGCUGAACUUAAGCAUAUCAAUAAGCGGAGGAAAAGAAACCAACAGGGAUUGCUCUAGUAACGGCGAGUGAAGCAGCAAUAGCUCAAAUUUGAAAUCUGGCGUCUUCGACGUCCGAGUUGUAAUUUGUAGAGGAUGCUUCUGAGUAACCACCGACCUAAGUUCCUUGGAACAGGACGUCAUAGAGGGUGAGAAUCCCGUAUGCGGUCGGAAAGGUGCUCUAUACGUAGCUCCUUCGACGAGUCGAGUUGUUUGGGAAUGCAGCUCUAAAUGGGAGGUAAAUUUCUUCUAAAGCUAAAUAUUGGCCAGAGACCGAUAGCGCACAAGUAGAGUGAUCGAAAGAUGAAAAGCACUUUGGAAAGAGAGUUAAAAAGCACGUGAAAUUGUUAAAAGGGAAGGGAUUGCAACCAGACUUGCUCGCGGUGUUCCGCCGGUCUUCUGACCGGUCUACUCGCCGCGUUGCAGGCCAGCAUCGUCUGGUGCCGCUGGAUAAGACUUGAGGAAUGUAGCUCCCUCGGGAGUGUUAUAGCCUCUUGUGAUGCAGCGAGCGCCGGGCGAGGUCCGCGCUUCGGCUAGGAUGCUGGCGUAAUGGUCGUAAUCCGCCCGUCUUGAAACACGGACCAAGGAGUCUAACAUCUAUGCGAGUGUUCGGGUGUCAAACCCCUACGCGUAAUGAAAGUGAACGGAGGUGAGAACCGCAAGGUGCAUCAUCGACCGAUCCUGAUGUCUUCGGAUGGAUUUGAGUAAGAGCAUAGCUGUUGGGACCCGAAAGAUGGUGAACUAUGCCUGAAUAGGGUGAAGCCAGAGGAAACUCUGGUGGAGGCUCGCAGCGGUUCUGACGUGCAAAUCGAUCGUCAAAUUUGGGUAUAGGG
rnacentral:rRNA from 1 species